AGUUUGCUGGACAACAAGGACUCAGCAACAGGCAAGUCACCGUUCCUUCUCAGUAUCUGAAGCUUAGGCACUGUUGGGCAGGAGGCCACAGGAGUGGAACUCGCCUGAAAGUAGCUGGCACUGUGUGCUUUUAUAGCCUCUGGCUCCUGACCUGGGCCAUUGCUGUUGGUCUUUUCCCGCCGCUUAACUGAGAAUGGCUGCCUGCAAAUACCACCUGCUCCUGUGCACUUAGAAACCGCUGCCCCAGCUACCUUCACCUGCCCAGUACCUCCCUUGCCCAAGUAACCUCUGUGGACAGAAGAGUCUGAAGCAGAAGAACGUGGAGUGCUUAAGAAUGCUGGGAUCUGUAAAUUGCUUUGUGAACACUGGAGGCUGCUCACCUAAAGCUCCAUGACAGCGGUUGAUGUUGGUGAUGGGCAGGUUUUGACUCUUCCUCAAUCUAAGAAGAAAGCUCUGAAUAAAGACUUCCUGGUUGAUUUCUUGGAAUCCUGGCAGCUACUGAGGAACAGUUUUCCCAAGGCCAUUUAAGAAUCCAAUCAGUAAUUUUAUCCUUAUUCUGGUUACAUUUCUGUUAUAAACAGUUUAUGCAUUUAUACACACAAAAGUCUAUACAUAAAAGACUCCAUUCCUCAUAAACUAUUUUUGCCUUGUUCAUAAGCCAAGACUGUGUACUGUUAAAGAUCAGAUAGUUCUCCAAAAAGCUUUGAAUUUAAAGGGAAAUAAUUUUUCCAUUAAACCUUUAAAAAAUUCUCAAGCUACAAUUCAACCUUAAGUUGAAAGAAUGGCAAAAUUUUAUUUCACUCAUUUUAUCUUACUUUUCCUCUAUGUAAAAAAAAGUCAAAUAGAAUUUAUCUGGUGCAAUUUUGCUUAUUCUGGUAAGCUUACUUUAGAAGCAUCACUUAUGUUCCUAUUCUCUAUGCUACAUUUCUGAGUUGUUCAUUUACAAUGCAUCUGUGUUCUGACUUCUCACAAUUUCUUUAUGGAGCAUGUUAUUUUAUUUCUAGAUAUAUGAUGAUAUUUAAAUGCUUUAAUCUUUCUAUUUAAGCAGUAACUUUUUUUCUUCCGUGUUCUGUAGAGGAAAUAAGCAGAUUCUCAUAGGUUGGAAUGUUUGUAUGUUAUCUUCAAAGCAUUCAUGGUAAAAAGAAAGUGUUACCAUCACAAUUUUAGCAGCAGAAUGUUUAAAAUAACUAGGUCAACGAGACUACUUGUUAUGAAGCCCACUAAGAGAUAAUCCCAUCCUAAAUUACUCAACAUAUAACUAUAUUCCUAUUAAAAAAAAAGCGAAACUUAACAGAAGGUAAGAUAAAUACCUCUGAAACACGUCAGGUCCUAACAAAUGCCAGUUAGUUUUUAACUUAGACUUUUAAAUUACAAAAGGAA